AUCACUAGAUGGUCCAUCCUUUCGUCACAGCUCCAAAUUUUGUCUCUGUAACUCCUUCAAUGGGUGUUUUGUUCCCAUUUUUAGAAGGGGCAAAGUGUCCACACUUUGGUCUUCGUUCUUCUUGAAUUUCAUGUGUUUAGCAAAUUGUUAUCUUAUAUCUUGGGUAUCCUAAGUUUCUGGGCUAAUAUCCACUUAUCAGUGAGUACAUAUUGUGCGAGUUCAUGAUUUUCAAUAAAGGAUAAAAUAAAUAAAUUUUAGCUCAGCUCCCCACAUCUGUGGACCCAUGGAAUGCUUUUCUUAAUGAUUUUUGUUAGGCCUGACCACACCCUGGGUCUGCCAUCAUCCAAGUUUUCCACUUACUGAGACAAAACGGCAUAUAGUUAUCCUAACGGCUCUCAGAAAGCCCCUUCUUUGAAACACACUAAAUUCUGAACAACUCAAGCACUGUAUUGACCUUGUUCAUUUUAUAUAUCUAUGCCUAGUAUACAGUAAGAGCUCAGAAAAUGCUUUGUGAGUAUGAGAAGAUGUGUUUAAACUACUUUAGCCAUGAACCACUUGCAAAUCCUAUCGUCAAGUGUUUCUGGGAGAGAGAGAGCGAUAGCAUCCUAUGUGAAACUGCCAGCGAUUUGGGGAUGUGUUUUAAUGAGGAUAAAAGACUCAUUUCUGAAGGCUUUCCACUGUAAUUAUUCUUGCUUCUCUACAAAACUCGGUCUUCCUCUUUGAAUUCCUUUUGAUUUCCUUUCUGCCUUCUAGAAGACUCAGUAGGGCCUGGAGGCCAUCUACCGGCAGAAAGUUCUGUUUCCCAUUGAUUUUCGCUUGUACCUGUGAAGUUACACUCAUUUUUUUUUUCAUCCACGCCCAAGCCUUCCAUUCCUCGCUGGUGAAAUGAGGGAGCCGGAGUCAAUGGCCGCCGCCUCACUCCCCUUCCAGCUGUUGCGCUCCAGAGUCCACAGACUCUCUUUCUGCCCAAACUAUCAUCUCUUACACGUUUCGAGGGAAGAGAGAGCCAGGGCUGAAAAGCAAUUCAUCUGGUGAGUACAGCUGACAGGUGACUGAAACAGCAAAUCACUCUUGGAAGAACCAGUUCCUUGCUGACGCUUGGCUGCAGCACUGUGGCUGGGAAGAGCAGUGGGCAGAGCGUUCCACGAGUCCUUUCUGCCAAGCAUCAGUGAAAUAAGUAAACAUACUUAUAUAAACUCCUUACCUCGAGCUUCAGAAAGCGUGCAAUGCAGACAUCCAGGGAAAUCUUGCUACGUUGAAGUCCUUUUUUUCUACAUUGAUUCAAUAGAUUUCUUUUGACAGGAGGCUAGUCUUAACUUCGACAGAAAUGAUUGUAGCAAAGUUUCCUAUUUUAGGCUGUCAGCCAUAUUCUGGGAAUUGAGGUGUCUUUGCCCUGGCUAUUGGUUUUUUCAAAGCUUCCUGUGUGUAAUAGCAAGCACGGUUGCUGCCUCUCUUCGCCAGAAUAUUUUGAUGUGUUAGGUCUGUGUAUAUCUGAUCUAUCCUCCGUCCACCUCAUAAUUGGAUACUAAAUUCACAGAAAUCGAGACAAAAAAGUGCCUCCCCUGAAAUUUCAGUCUCCAGAUUGCUUUUCAUUUGAAGAACUAGUCUCCUGAGUCAGGCUCCACUACUGAAUCUAAAUGGUUCCCACCGAACAGAAUAUUCUGGGUACAACCAAAGGUCUUAGACUACCCUGGAGUAAGUGAUUCCAGUCAAUAGCCUUGGAACUCGCUCAUGGGCACAUGGCUCAGCUCCUUACUGCACCUUGUUAACAUUUCCCACUAAAAGCUACCUUUAUAUAUUAUUGUUGCUGGCUUUGGUAAGACUAGGUGAUAAUGACAGUGAAUACCUGUGGUUAAGAGAGGUUUGAAAGAUUUCUCUCUUCCUGUCCUUCUUUCUGAACCUCUUGGAUAACCAGCCCUUUGAUGAGAACUGGAUGGCUCCUGCCUAUCAAGAACCCAGGAAUCCCCAAGACUGGGAACAAUGCCAGGGUCAGCUGGAACAAUAGCAUCUUCGAAUUUUAUUACUGUGAAGAGACACCAUGACCAAGGCAACUCUUAUCAAGGAAAACAUUCAAGUGGCUUACAGUUUCAGAGGUUCAGUCCAUUAUCAUCAUGGCAGGAAGCAUAGCAGCAUGCAAACAGACCAACACGGUGCUGGAGCUGCUGAGAAUUUUACAUCUUGAUCCAAAGGCAGCCAGGAAGAGGUUCUUUUCUGCAGGCAGCCAGGAAGAGGCUCUUUUCCCACUGGGCAGAGAGUGAGCACUAGAAGACCUCAAAGUUCACCUACACAGUGACACACUUCCUCCAACAAGGCCAUACCUAUUCCAAAAAGGCCAUGGCUCCUAAUGGUGCCACUUCCUAUGGGCCAAGCAUAUUCAAACCACCACAAAUAGUGAAGAAAACUGGUCCAUUAGAAUGACCUGACUGGAAAUGUGGCUCAGAAGCUGGAAGAGGCUCAUCCCCCAACCCACCCUCCUUAAGUCUGGGUUCAUUUGACAUGCAACUCUUGCAUACUGCUCAUGUGAGAGAUUCUCUGAGUGCCCCUCAGUAUAUGCAGGGAACGUUUACACCAUCUCCUACCUCCACCUUUCGCUGGCCUCUCCCUCCUCCCUGCCUUUGCUUUAUCUCCUCUUUUCUCCCUUCUUCCUUCGUCUUCCAUAACACUGCCUCCUCUUCUCUAUCUUCCUUCUUCACUCCUUUCUCCUUCUUCAUCUAUUUCCUUCUUCCUCCAUCUAUAGAAUCAUCUUCUGCCAUCGUAUGACAGCAUAAAGGAAAUCUCUGUCAUUAUUAUGGAUUAUUUACCCAAUUAUUCUGCCAACUAAAAGCUGCUUAAAGUAUUUACUGGUCUACAGAUUAGCAUUCCCAUUAUUAAUAAUAGGGCUAAUUGACACAGAAACCAUGACACAAAAGUUGGGUGCUGUGUGGAACUGGAAAACGUGGUCCAAAAACAUAGAACACUUACAUGGUAAGGCCCCAUUCCUAAUGUGGUCAUCGCUGUGGCUUAUUCUCUCACAAGCCUUCCACUGAUGUUUUGUUUAUGCAGAGAACCUGAAAUCAAAUCUUGUAUCAGAGAACAGAUUUCCUCUUUGGUGGGAACCUGGUAUAUCACUAAAGGUGAAGUCCCAGGUGCAGACUGUUGAAGUGAUGUAUCCUGAAGAUGCAGGAAGAACAUGGCCUUGGGAUUGACCCCAGAAUCCCCACUCUCUGCUGUAAAUUCCCUUGAUAAGCAAGCUCCCUAAACACCCUGCCCUCUUUCCGACUAUACGACAUGGAGAGCAUAAAGUGCACCUCAUAAGGCUACUGUGAGCAACACAUAACUAGUGUCUCUUCCUCCUCUUUCCCUAGGCUGAGCAAUUGCUAUUGAGCAUCACUAAGUGACCUCCACAUAGGUUGUAAGAACUCUUAUGUCCACUUGGGCACUGUGAUCUGUGGGUGAUCUAAAACUUCAGCUCGUUGCAUGGAAAAUAUUUGGAGAAGAUGGAUGCUGGAAGCAUUGGAUGACCAAUUCCUGGUCUGAGACUUAGGGAAGACAUUACCAAGUUCCAGCAGGGACAGUUUGUGAUGGACAAGAUCGUUCCAGUUUAAAUGACACCUUGGAUUUUGUGAUAUGAUUUAAGAGUUAUUCCUUUGACUAGAAGCCUUUGUUCCUAUAAAAAGAAGAUACGCCAAAGAGAACAGCAACAUAUGAAAUCUUGUUCAUGUGCACAGUUUGUUUUUUAGUUGUAUUCUUAUUCUCUAUAAUGCUGUCUUUUUUUUUUUUUUUUUUUUUUUUUUUUUUUUUUUUUUUGACUGAAUGAAAUGUCACCUGCUCAGAUGCAUCUAUUUUACAGAGCUUUAAAGCUGAUAACCUGCACCAAAGUGCACAUUUUUCGGUGUUUUCCUUUUCUUUUCCUUUUUUUAUAGUAAUUUCAAAGGUGUAACUGAGCUUAGCCAUAAAUUGCUGGUUUUAGCUCUGCAAGGCAGGCAGCAUUUGAUCAUUGACAACUCUGUUUUCUUCUUUGUUUCCUGACUAAAAUCUCCACAGUCUCUAUAAAUAUGUAAAUUACCAAAAUCACUAGUUUUCCAUUAUUUCUGCCCCUAAGCUGCUUAAAAUGUUUCUAUACUCUUACAUAUGCAGCGCAAAAACAGAGCAGCGGGUGACAGCUGCCUCUGGCUCCAUUAUCAAACCUCUAUUUAGCAACUACUUGUUUCAAAAUUUCUGAUAAUAACUUUUCCCCCAGGGUGAGAUCCACAUCAUGUGCUGAUGUGGGCAGAGCCUAGACUGGACCAUCAUACAACAGGAAUGCAAAGAUGGGUGUGUGUGUUUGUGAAGAUGUAGAAAUCUCACACUAUGGGCAGUACUGCCAGUGGAACUGGUUUUUAUGAUAGGAUGCAGUUGGUUUUAUUUUUAUUACUAUUUCUUCAACUGAUAGGACUCAAGUAAUGAACUUAAUGUGCUGUCUGUUGGGAUUUACUUUCCUCUCCUGAUUCAUUGGCCAUUAAGUUAAUCUGUCAUGAGAUGGAUCGUUGAGUCUCCAUGCGGGAUAGUACCGCUUUGUGACAGGGAAGGAAAAAAAUGCAUGUUGCAUAGAUUCAUAAAGACUUGUCUAGACAUACAUAUGUGCAUCUGUCUGUGGAGAACCCAAUGGAGGCAGAUUGAAUAGUGAAAUAAUAGUAGGAGAGGGUCUUUGAUGUGGAAAGCCUAUGGAAAGGGUUCUGGGACAUGUUUGCACAAUUCGAACCCUUGUACUGAGGUUGAGAAAUGUUUUUGACUGCACAGCAGAUCUGAGGCAAUACCAAGAAUGGAAAGUGUGUCCUGUCAAUAUCAGAUGCAGAACAGGACUAUGUUAGAUAUUCAUCAGCGUUAACCCCUGAUGUACAUGGCCUAGGAUUCCAUUCAUCUGAAUUUACCCGAAUCUUCAAGGCUACGUUAUACACCCAAAUCCUAGAAGAAUCUACACUAAACCUAUGUCCAUGUCCAUGUCCAUGUCCAUGUCCAUGUCCAUGUCUAUGUCUCACUGAAAUGAAAGCCUAUUAGAUUUAUGUGCAACUUGACUUCUUAAAGAUCCUGCAUGCUGUCCAAGAAAAAGAAUAGGGCAAAGACAUUCAUGGUGGAGAUCACUACUUGACAUAUUAGAAGAUAGAGUCACAGAAAUUAAAUAUGACACUAAUGGGAAAUAAGUGAACCAGUACUGGCAAUUGUCUUAUGCUCCAGCUGUCCUCAUAGAUAGAGUCUUGCUGGAACAGCCACCUUCUUUGAUUCCCAUAUGCUCUGCAACAGUUUUCACACUGCAGCAGUAACAUAGACUGGUUGUGACAGGAAUCUUAUGGUUCUAAAAGCUUACAAUGCUUGCUAUCUGGCUGUUUACAGAAAGUUUACUAACCAGUGACUGAAAACAUAGGUUCUUCAAGUCUGUCCAUUGAGCCUAAGGGAAUGAAGCCAGUUCAUAAUACAUCCAAGGAACUUGUCUGGUGAUUGUGUGGACCCAGAGCUUAUUGUUUUAGGACAACUGUUACCUACAUGUGAAUGCAUUUAGCCUCGAUUAUUUUGUGGUAUGGUGCUAUCUUUGUUUAAAAAGCAGCAGAGCAUUUGGGUGUGUUCUAUAUUCUUCCAGAGUACUCCAGAAGAGCAGCAGAGCAUUUGGGUGUGUUCUAUAUUCUUCCAGAGUACUCCAGAAGAGCACUAUCCAAUUCUCCUUCCUGUCUCCAGAACUGCUUCCCAGUGGAAUGCAGACAAGUGUGAUCAAUGGGUUUCUUUUAAAGUUCUUAAUCACUAUACAUGUCCCAUUUAAGUAACAGAUAUUCCCUCAUAGGGCAAGAACCAGUUUCUUAUCAAAAUGAAUGGAAUCUUGGCUGUGCUCAGCUUCCAUCAGUCUGAUGAGUUUGCUCGAACUUCCUUCUCCCUUCUUGUCCCCCACAGGUAGUUAGCUGGUAGUUGGCAAGUACUGUUUGGGGGAGGAGAUGCCUCCUAAGAUCUGUGGCUAUCAUUGACUGAGGGAUUGGUAAGAGCCUAAGACAGAUAUGUGUGAGAGGGAAACUUGCAGGUUUGCUAAGGUGGCUGCCCCUGCCUCCUGCUGCCUGCUUCAGGGCCCUCAUUCUCACCCUGCCUUAGUGACUCUGGUCAUCACUGGGUAGGUAGAGAAUGCCACCCACGUAGGACUUUGGAUUCAUGGGAAGCAGAGUUGAAAAUUUCUCACAGUGAGUUCCCUGAAAAGUUCAGAUUCCUUUGUCCAUUAAAUCUCAUAUAAAUGAGCAAAAAGCUUUCUAAGUCUGCUCCUGCACAAGGUGCUGAGCCAAUGAGCUUGUUUAUUUCAAAUUCUCCAGAGAGUACAACAGCGCUGAAUGAAGCUAGGUGAAUUGUUCUGGCUAGUCUAUUUGUAUUUUUAAAGAAUAGAAAAAAAGAAGACUUUUUUCAUCAAUACAACAAAUCACAUGUAAUUAAUAUGUCAUUAAAUUUUCUUUGUAGAAAUAGUAGUUUUCACAAAUAGAUUCUGUAAUUAUAUUUUCAUGUAUUAGUAUGCUGAACAUACUAGUGCAUAAACCUCUUCUAUGCCUUGUUGGCAGAUGGUACUACUAAUUGUCAAUGCUAGUCAUAUUUUCAGAGACAGAAUUCAUCUCUUGGUGAUGUUUUCUCAAAAAAAAAUUGAAUGUUCUGUCAAAUGUUACAUGAGCUCCUUCGUGGUAGGUGAACAUUAGACAUCGUUGUGUAGCCUGUAACCUAAGGCUAAAUUAUUUAUUCAAGGCUUUUGUGUGACUGAGCAGAAAUCCUUAUGAAAGGUAAAACCGUGGAAUUUAUUCUUGAUGUCCUUCUUUUAAAUUGCUCCUAAGAAAUGGGCAGGAAAUUUCCUCUGGACAUUUCUUUGACUGUGUGACUGCAUGAGUGAACCAACAUCACAAUGGCUACAGAAUUCUUCUGACUUGCUUUUACAUCUGACUGUCUCAAAUCCCUCUAAAUACCAAAAUUUGUGAGUGAACCUGGCCAAACUGCAGGCCUUCUGCAUGAGGUAGGCACAUCAGUUGACAAGAAGUAUAGACUUUGAAUUCCUCUCCUUCUUUUUACAAGACAGAGAGCAGCACCCCAGGGAUCAGUUGGUAGGAUGUCACUGAUAAAUCCCAAACAGGGACCCAAAUGAGGCACCACUUCUACUGUGACUUAAGCAGCAAAACAGCUCUGCAACUUCUGGUCAACCCUUUCCUUUGAAGAAUACAAACAGCUUUCUUAGAAAUGGCCUUCUAUUGAUGAAAAUCUUUCCUUUAUUACACAUUUUUGGUGAUUUAUGGAAUCAUCCUCUCUCAGUGCCAAGACUUUUGUUGUACCACUUCUGUCCUGUGUAACAAACCACCCCCAAGUGAGGUGACCUGGGAUAAUGAUUAGCCAUGAAUCAGUGUGUCAAACGAGUGGCUGAUCUCAGGUAGUCUAGCCAUAUGUGCAUCCCACAUUAACUACUCUGAUGAUGUGGAAACUUCUCAUUCACCUAUCUGAUGAUGGAUGGGAUUGGGUCACAUCUCUCUCAUUACUUGCCAUGUUUCGCCAUGUUUUCCCAUGUGGUAGUGACAUACUUGAAGGAGUGACACAUGCAAGGCCUCUUGAUGCCUCAGUUUGAAAGUGGAACAGGAUUGCAUCUUCAUACUUUUGGUGAAAGACAUUUAAAGAGCCAAUCUAAAAAUAAGUGGAAAACAGUUUAUUUGUGGAUGGAAAAUGUGUGUAAACAGAGGAUUGUACAAAUAAGAUUUCAUACUUCCUAUCCAGUCCUGGAUAUUCAAUGAAGAGACCGAGUCUGUAUCCCAUUCAUUGGAUCCAGUAACAUGGGGGUGGGAGGAGAAACUUUAUAAAGGGCAUAAUUGAAUAAUUAAGAAAAUUCUAAAAUAGACAAUAGAUAAGAAUUUUGUCCCAAUGCUAAAUGUAUUGAAGUUGAAAGUUCUUCUUUAGUAAGAAAACAUCUUAGUCUCAUGAGAUAUAUCAUCAUACAUUGUUGUAGCAUUGCUCUUUUUUCCAAGCAUAACUUGAUAACAGUUGCCAUCAUAAAGUGAAGAAAACCUUAAGCCAGUAGUGCAUGAUAACAGAAGAAACAGAGCAAUCUAGUGAUGGCUAAGCCUAUGGUAAUUGAAGUGGACUCUUAACAAUCUCUAGAGGGUGAGGGAGUGUCUGAGAACUCUCACCUUGGAUUCCAGUCAUUACUUCCUCCUGUCUCCAGCUGCAUGUGACCUUGGGUAGAACUAGUGUACACAAGCUGUGAAAAGUUGACAGAAAGUGGAAUUCUGUGACACAACUUCUGCAAAAUGUUAAUCAAAACGAGGUUGGGACUAAUGCUGGUGACCUUCAGUCAACUUGACAAAAAUCAGGGUCACUUUGGAAAGAAAGGAAACUUCCCAUGGAAGUUGCUUUUGUUCAUGUUAGUUACCAGGAGCUUUUCAGGGAUACUGUUAUUUUUGAGUCACCUGUGCACUCUGCUGUAAGCAGCCAAGUAAACUUAUUGGCUUACCAAGCUGGCCGUGUGCAGAGUAAUUCUGCUAGCCUUUUGUUGGUACCCUAUCUGGCAUGAACAGCCACUUGUUCAUGUCUCUCCAGGAAAAGAGUUUUGAUGUAUGAUAGACCUUCAAAUAGUUCUGAAAUCACCAUCAUCUUUCAGCUUUGACUUUAUAACAAGACAAUGGAUGUUAUGGAAAUGAGACAGCAGGUAGGAUAUAUAUUAGCUGAUUCUUAUUUUUCAUUCUUUUCUGUAAAUUUUAAAUAGUUUCCUACUAAAAUAAAGUGGAAAUGAUCUUUUUUUAAAGACAAAUAAGGUUGAUGCUGAUCUACUGUGUCUUGGUUGUGCCUCCUAAUCCUCUUAAUUUGGGUCCCUUCAGUAGUUAAGGAAGAAUACCAAUUGGCCAAUUGGCCUUCUCCUGACAAUAAGGCAAUCUAUGUCACAUGAUUGGCAAACUGCCCAAGCCUACCCAGUAGACAUUCCCUAAAUGGCUACUGUUUAAUCCAAAUAGACUCAUUCUCAGGCUAUCUUCUACAUGACUGCGUUGCUACUGGUAACAUUUUUUUUAGAGUAAUUUGAAAGCUUCAAGAAAACAAGCAGUGCAUUUUAUAAUGGCAAACAAUUAGGAUACAGUGAACCCAGAACUGAACUGAAUUAAGAGUGAUCCAUCCUCUAGUCUGAAGAUGGGAAAUAGAUCGGGUGCUAGCCUGACCUUGGCUAAGUAGCAUAAGUUGUUUCUCCUUUCAUUUUUAUUUUUAUUUAUUUUAUUCUAUUUUUAUUUAUCCAUCUGACAGCAAAGAAGAAAGUCCAACAAGACAUAACAUUUUUCAAAACUACUGGUUACUAAUACAUGUUGACUGACCAAGUCUCUGCACUCCCCUAAGAUCUAAGACCUCAGACAGAGAGUAAGGCUAUGAGCUAUGUUUCCACAAAGAUCUUUUGUGCCAGGGCAAAGUCCCUGUGUUCAUUUAGAAUGUGACUUAUAACUUCUGGACCAUAAUGUUUUGUAAGAUUUGAAGUAAGUAACCAUGUCCCUGAAGUUAAAUUCUCUAAAACCUAACAGAAACAAACGCCAGAAGGCAGUAAGUGCCACCACAUCCCACUGAUUUAUGGCAGGCAAGGAGAAUGAAAUUUAUAACCCUGGCACACAACAAAUUCAUUGUCAUUAGCAUUCUGAAUAUUCAUGUGUCGCUGCUCUUUCAUCUUAAAUAUCUGCUUUGAGCUCUUUGGAGAGAAAGAAGUAACAACACUUUUCCUUUAGUCAGGGAAGACUUGACUAUAAUUUUUUAUUCAAUGUGAAGUAUAAGUUUUUAUUUUUAAAAUUGGCUUUUAUUGUAUUUAUUUGUUGACUACUUGUAGUGCUUGAGAUUGAACCCAGGUCCUUGUGUGUCCUAACUUCUAAAAUGUGUCCCUAGAUUGUAUUUUUCCUUCUUUAUCUUUCACUGAAGUGCUUUUGAAGGUAUGUAAAAUUAUACAAUUUCACAGAUAAAGGAGACUUAAGAGAUGGUCUUACUCAUUAUCUUUUGAGACAGAGCGAAGAGGUGAUGUGACUUGAUAAAGGCUGGUGGCUAGUGACCAUCAGCAUCACACCGAGGACCCAGUACCUACCUAGAGCUCUUAUUUUAGUACAAUGUGUGAUUUCUCACUAAAUCCUUUUAUUAUAGCAAUUAUUUAGGCAUUUGUAAUUUGAUUUAAUUUUCAACAUCUCUUUGAAUUAAAAAAUCACUUGAGGGAAAUUAUUAGCAGUGUGUAAUUGAAAAGAUUGUCAGCUCCAGAACUUUCCCCUCAAAUUUCCCUCAAUGCAUUAUGCAUUCCAUGGAGCUGGUCCUGGCAGCAGACAGAAAGUGAGCAGAGACCAUUUAGAUCCAAACUGUGUUUUCCUGUGUGACAUCCUGGAAAGCAGCACAGUAAUGGACGGCUUGAGGCUCUGAACAGUAUGUCUUCUCAGAAACAAUAAGAAAACACCAUAGGUUGUCAGCACCAAGUUGGAUAAGCCCAGAACUAAAGUCCAUCUUACGCCCCACAGCUGCAAGGGCUACUAUGUUUUUAUUUCAACCAUAAAUUUUUACAGCUAGAAGAAGCCAGAAAAUAUUGUUAAAAUCCAAGACCUGAGUUGAUUCAACUCCAGAGUUUCAACAAUUCAACAUUUAAUAAUCAUUAAGGACAUGUUUAUUGCAGACAUUGGUAUGGAGUAAAAUAAUCUCUAUUAGCUAGUGGCCAUGUGAACAAAGUAACAGGAAAUAAGCAAUCAAAUGGCAAAACAUCUCUGGGGCUUCCUAUAUCCCUGACUCUAUGAUUAUACCAGAGAACACUUUUCUGGCACAAAAAGGAAAAAGAUUCUCUCUCUCUCUCUCUCUCUCUCUCUCUCUCUCUCUCUCUCUCUCUCUCUCUCUCUCUCUCUCUCUCCCUUCCUCUCUCUCUCUAUUUCUCUCUCUCUCCCUCUCUCUCCCCCCCUCUCUCUCAUUCAUGCACAUACAAACAUACAACAACAUGCCCAUGAGCACACACAUGCACAAUUAUAACAAAUUCGUGAAAGAAAUUAUAUAAAAUUGAAUAAUAACAUGGACCGGAGUGUGGCUCAGUAGUAGAGCGCUUGCUUCACAUGUGUAAGGCCCUAGGCUCCAUCCUCACUAACAAACAGUUGUAUUUUUCUUUAUAUUUGUCUCCUACGAGUAGAACAUCCUUGUAGAAUCUCCCGGCUGCACCUAGUUGGCUCCAUCAGAAUCCAUUUAGCACCCUGCUCUUACCUCUGGAGCAGUGCUCAGGAUGGUGCUAAUGUUGCUUAGUCAUUCUGCCUCCUUCCCCGGAAACCGAAAUGAUCGGAAUAGUUGCCAUCAUUGGCAUGCAGUUUUGUGUGAUGCUAUUGUUGCAUUUUUUGUGAUGUGCUGAUGGUCGUUUCAGGCAUGUGUCAGUUGUUAGGAGAAAGUUCUCCAAUUUUGUUUUAAGGCUAAAGAUGAAUCUGACCCCUUUCAACUUCUCAACUAUAUAAACUGUAUCUUCAGGUAAAAUUCUUAUUAAAACCUAUGGUUAUGAGUGUGGGUAGGGUGAACUGGGUGAGUAAGGAUAUUUCUUGGAUAAUAAAAUGGAAUUCUCCAAUCAGUUCUGCUGUAAUUAAAUUAAAAUUUAAAGCUAAAAACCCAGACGUUCAAUGGCGUGUUCAAUAACUCGUGCUGGGAUCUACUCCUUCAGUAAUGCUUAUCUUUCCAAGGGGCAUAGUUAAUUUCUUCAGUGCUCUGUAAAUUAUUACAGAAAUUACAAAUCUACUAGAAAAUCCAUACAACUAAUUGUAAAUUAAUAGAUUCCUAAGUGUGAAGGAGCGGGUAAUAAUGUAGAUGAGUUCUUCAAAGCUCAUGGCUGUCCCAGCAUCAAGGGCUGGGGGCUCCAGCUGCUUCAUGUGACAUCUUCAAGUGUAAACACAUUUCUUCCUUACCCCUCCCUCUCCCUACCCACCCCCUCACUUCCCACUGAUUUAGUCUGCCACCGCAGAGAAUAACAUUUCCAUUAGCCACCUACUGUUAAAUCACAAAGUAACAAUGAUAAAAAAAAUCCAAACAAACCAAUAGAGGAGCAACUGGGGUUACUUUCUGUCUCCAACGUUGUGUGUGGUAUAGUCAAGCAAAAGGAAAACAAAAGGCAAGGUUAAAUAAAUUGCAUCUAACAGGGAGCGCCGGACUAUGGGUUUGUAUGAAGCACAAACCUGAGUAUGGUAAAUAUGUAAUCAGUUGGUUAGUAUGCUGAACAAUUAUUCUUCACUGUUUCGUCUGUGGAGCCUUGAAUUUUAGUGUGGGAUUAGAUGGUUGUUUCUGUGUAUAUGCCACAUCACUGCCAAUCAAUUUAGGGCAAUUACGGGCUUGUCAAUAGAAAAUCAACAAUUAUCAUAAUUAUGUUGAGGUAAUCAAUGAGGUUGCCAAGGCCUUGCUGUGUUCUGUGCGUUUGGAUGACUGGAGAAG
rnacentral:lncRNA from 1 species